AGGUUUUUUCUUUAAUUUUUUUAAAUUUUUGUCAUUUAAUUUAUUUUUAAUUCACUACAAAUUCAAAUUUUUCAUACAAAAUAUUUAUAUUUAACGUGUUCAAAUGAUCAUAAAUCUAAGCAUGUCAACUCUUAAAUUAUAUAUAUACAUACAAAUUUGAUAUUCACUCUUCGACAAAAUAGUAACCGGUGACAAUAAAUAUGAAGUUACCACAUUAGCUAUAUAAGGUGCCUAUGGCCCCAUUUUUCUUUGAGUAGUUUUAUUAUUAUUUAUUUACUUAAUAUAUGUGCAUAUAUUAAAGCUAACCAUCCCAUAUGUUUACAUAUAUAUUUUUAUUUAUUUGACAUUCACCCUCACAAUACGUAUACAUCAUUAUGAAAUGAAACAGAGAUGGGACCUAUGACAGUGGAAGGUAGAACAUGUGAGACCAAAAGUAGUGAAUACAAGGGGAUAUGCUUAUUUGAUGCUAAUUGUGAUAGUAUUUGCAAAGUAGAGCCAGGUUUCGAUGGUGGGCAUUGCCAUGGCUUCUUUCGCAGAUGCUAUUGCACUAAACCUUGUUAGAUGAGCAAUCUAUUAAGAUUUCAUUAUACUUAAAAGAUUGCCUCAUUUCCGCUUGUUAUGUGUGUGCUUGAGAGUUGAGAGAAUAAGAUCAACAACAUAUUGGUGUACAUUGAAUUAUAUUACUAUUAAAUAUAUCUAUAAUUUUUAUGGAUUUGUGCGACCUUGAUCGGUGCUGGCAUAAAAGUUGCUUCAGCGAAUCAUCAUUUAUUGUCAAUCAGUAUUCACAACAAAGGUUUCCAUAAAGGUUAAUGUUGGGCCAUCAAAGAGGUUGUCAAUCAAAUUUUGUCCAAACGGAUUCACAAAAUAGAAUCAUAAUUAUAAAGAGAUAAUAUAAUGGAGAAUAAGAUUAGAGUAGCUCCAUGUGUAAAUUAAUGACUUGGAUUAUGAAAGGGAGACGCGUGGAGAAGAAAUGAAGAAGAAGAAUAAGAGUGGAAAAUAAAGAAAUAAAAAAGGAAAAGAGAGUAGGGAAGUUAAAUUAAAUGAAAAUUAAAAAAAAAGACUGCUCAUGAAGAAAAAUGAUAGAGAUUACUGUAUAAUUUAAUCUAAAAUUUUCAUUUAAAAUAAUGAUUUAACGUGUCAUAUUCACUUGCUAUUACUUCGUUAACAACUCAUUAAAAAAAUACAAUAAAUUAAUACUAUUAAUGACUCUAUCGUAAUUUUUUAAUAUUUAAUGUUCAAAUUAUAAUUUGAACCAUACAUAAUUGAUUAAAUAUAUAGUCUACCCAAAGAUUUAUGGUAAGUAUAAUAAUAUUCUUAUUCAAUUUUUAUAAAAGUUUUAUUUUUUUGACAAUCUAAUUAGAGAUCUCAUUUUAAAUUGUGAUUUCUCAAAUUAAUAUUUUUUUUUGCUUAAUUUGCUACCUAUGUUUAUAAUGAUUAUUUUGAAAUUUGAAUUUGUCAAUUUUCUAAUUUAAUAUCUAAUCUUUUUUUUAUCAAAUUUAGUUCUCAAAACUUGGCAUUUUUCUAAUUUGACUUUUAAUUGUUUUAUCUAAUUUAAUAUUUAAACUCAAAAUUUAUAUAAAUUACUCCAAUAAAAUUCUUAUCUUUAAAUGUUUCUGCAAAUAGUUGAUGUAUUUAAUGUUUAAAUGCAUCAAAUUUUUAAAAUCUUAGAUUUACUUAUUGAAUUUCAUGCAUGCUAAAUUGCUAUCAUUUAGAGUUUAAACUUGCAAAAUACUAUACGUGCAAGCUUUACACCUAGAACAUCUUUUUGGAGGAAAAUAGGUAGAAAAGUCAACAAUCUAUAGGAGGAUGGGAUCUUGAGGAAAAUGGAUGCAGGAAGAAGGAGCGGUGAUGAUAAACACAAGGAAAGUAAAAAAAAAAUGCUCAAUUGGUCGAAGGUGAUGUGCAGGACAAAGCAAGAGCGAGAGCAUUGGAACACAAUGAAUAUGUCUGUGCUGAGACGCGGAGGGGAAAACUUGAACUCAAACAUUCUUGAAGAUAUGGAAGUGAUCGACAGUAGAUUUGAGAAUGAAAAUAUCCAUUGGUUGGAACGCAGCUUGGUAGGGUGAACUGUGGAAUACAAAGCAUUGCAAGAAAUAGCUAGAAUUAUGACUGAGAUGAUUGACUUGCUUUGCAUGCUUGGAACCUUGGGACUUUUUAGAACAUAGCUCAUAAGUAUGGUGAGUGGUUAGGAGUUGACUUAAACACGAGAAGCUUUAACACUUUUGUGAGGGGUAAUAUCCAUGUUCUAAUAAAUCAGAUUUACAAGGUUAUAGUCAGGGAAGCAGAGCCAAUUGUUAUGGUUAACCAAUGUGAUUGUGUGAAGAAAAACAAGGAUUUGGCCGAAGGAGAAGAUGAAACAAGCUCAGAAGCAAACGCUCCAAGUGAGGAAACUUCUAGCGGUAACCACCUUUCUGUAACAGAUGAAUGUGAACAGUCAAUUAGAAGGAGAGUGAAUGUGGAAGAUGAUGAUGACGUGGAAAAAACCAAUCUCUCAUUCAAUUUAGAAACUUUAAACUAUAACUUCACAUAAUCUAACUAAGUUAAUCCCUCUUCCCCACUAACUAUAUAUUCCUAUGCUAGGCAAGUUGGGUGAAGUCACUAAGAACAAACUUAUUGGGUCGAUUAGGGCAUCAAGUAUAUUCUUAUUCUAGCUGCAAAUUAACUUGUUCGUUAGUGCUACUAAAGUUAAUUAUAAUCUAUUCAGUUUAGAUCUAAAUCAUAAUUUUCUUUUCUAAGACAAAUCAAGAUUAUCAAAUUAAUGCAACUUGGUGAUCAAGUAUGUAGAUUAAAUAAGCAUAUAAUUGAAUCAAUAAUUAGCAAAGAUCGAAAAACUCAAAGAGAAAAUAAUUUAAUUAACUAAAAAAUAGGAUCUAUUAUUGUUCCAAGAAAAUAGAGUUUAGUUCAUACUAAGUUGAAAAAACCACACAAAAAGAUAUUUAGAACAGACUUUCAUACAAAAAAAAAGUAAAAAAUAAUCUAGAGAUAAAAAUAGUAAUAGAAUUUAUGUCGAGCAUCCAUAUAUCUUUUUCUUCUUGUUUUUUUCAAGCUUAAAGUUCCCCUUAAUGUGAGAGAGUUGAUUUUUAGCCUCCAAGUGAUUUCUUCUUUUCCUCCUUCCUUUUCUCUUAAAUCUCAUCACCAUUAUUUUAGGGUUUUAAUUGAACCGCUUCACUGCACGCAAAAUUAUACUAAAAUAACUCUAAAUAUGAGGGUUAUUAUGGUGUCAACUACAACAACAUAAUGAACAUUUUCAGCUACGAAAAUCGUGAAGAUAAUGCUUUGAAAUAAAAUGAAAGAUGAUUUUCUUCCGAGUUACUUGAUGGCAUACAUCGAGAAGGACAUUGCUCGACAAUUUUCAAUCAAUUCUUUCAUUGAUGACUUCAAUUUAAUGAAAAAUCAAAGAAUUCAACUUAGGAUGUUCAACUUUAAGAAAUAGUGUUAUAUAUUAAGUUACUUUGAUUUAUGUUUUCUUUUAAGUAGACUAUAUUAACAUUUAAAAAGUAAUAAAUUAAGAUUAUACUUAUGUUUCGCCCCCUUGGAAUCAAAUCCUAAAUCCAUCCAUGGUGGGUUUUUUAUAUAUAAUAAAAAAGAAAGAAAAGAAAAGACACAAAGCAGUAAAAAAUAUAGUCAAAAUGUUAAGCUAAACUUAACGUCAAUGGGUGUCAAGAUUCGUUUAAAUAAAUAAAACAAAACCUGACACCCAUGAGUAUUGAGAUCCUAAUUAAAAUUUGUCUAUUAACAUUCUCUUUCCUCAUCUCUGGAUCUUGAGGAAAUUCAUUAAUAAAAAGCCUAUACUAAACUCGCACCUAUGGAUGUCGAGAUACUCCAAAAAGUAAAAUUUUGGAAAAUAAAUUUUAUAGAAGCUUAGUUUGGGAAACAAUAAAAAAAAUCCCUAUAUCCAAGUUUGAAAAAAAUUUGAAUAACUAUUAUCAGAAUAAAAGAAAUGGUAAACUACAAAAAUAGUCACUUUUGUUUACAUCAGGUUACAUUUUAGUCACUUAUGUUUAAAAUAUUACGUUUUAGUCACUUAUGUUAUUAUUUUGUUACGAAGUGAUCACUCUUCCAGUAAGUUCUGUUAUCUCACUAACGGUAAUCUUACGUGGCAGUCUAACUAGAUUUUAAGUGCCAACUUAAAUUUCCUAAUAGGAUGAGAAUAAAUUUUUAAUUAAAUAAAUUUAAUUAAUUAAAAAUUUUAAACCCUAAAUCUUAGUUAAAAAAAUUCAUCUCCCCUUUUUUUUUAGUUUUCUUUUUCAGGAUACCCUUCCUUGGAACUACUGUGACUGUGUUCCUCCUCAUGCCCGGUUGUUUCAGAUGUUAAAAAAAUCAGAACUUGAACUACUUUCCCUACCCUUGUCUUCAAGCAACUCGGCAAAUAUUCCCAUUUGAACCCCAUUCUCACUAAAGCUUUCAUUUUUCUCUUUAAUGAGUCCUCCUUUCUCAACCAAACCCUCCAUUUCAAUUUGCUGUUCUUCAAAAGGACCAGGUGAAGGACAAAACAGAGUGAUUUACUAUCAUACCACUAUACUCUAACCUCUGUGAGCAACACACAUUGGACUCCAUAGCUUUGUAACACAAGCUUCUAAAAGAUUUUGAAACCCAAAAGCUCUUAGCUUUUAGCUUUGGCGCAGGCAUUCAAAGCUUCAACUGGUGAUAUUGUUGUUGUUGCUGCUGUUUGGUAGAGCUAUUUACUCUUGGUUGGUGAAAGCUCCUCCAUCCAUAAGGUCGCCAACAUGUCUACUUCAAUGGGGUAAAGUGGAAGCAAAAAAAAAAAAAAAAUGCAGAGAAAUUUGGUGUGGGGUUUUCCUUCUUUUUCCUUUUAUCUUUUUUUAUGUUACAGAAAAAAGGCAGAAGCUUUAUGUUCUUAAAUAUAUGGAGUCAAGCUGAUGAUUACUGAGGCCUGCUCAAAGACAUGACUGCUUUCUUAGUCAACCGAAAAAUAAAACUAAAAAAAGGAAGAUAGAACGGUUUUUUAAUUAAGAUUUAAGGUUUAAAAUUUUUAAUUAAUUAAAUUUAUUUAAUUAAAAAUCUAUUCUUAUCUUAUUAGAAAAUUUAAGUUGACACUUAAAAUUUAGUUUGACUGUCAUAUAGGAUUACCGUUAAUGAGAUAACAGAACUUAACGGAAGAGUGAUCACUUCGUAACAAAAUAAUAACAUAAGUGACUAAAACGUAACAUUUCAAACAUAAGUGACUAAAAUGUAAUCUGAGGCAAAUAAAAGUGACUAUUUUUGUAGUUUACCCUAAAAGAAAAUACGAAGCAUAAUAAAUUAUUAAUUGAAAUAUCUUCGAUCCUAAAAUGAAAUAAAUUUAAACAGAAUUUACAUAUUUUUAGAUUUAAGCAAUCCCUUUUUCUCGAUAACUACCUCAACACUAACCCUUAUAUAAACCCAUCCCAUUGUUUUAUUUUCACUGCAUUAACAUCUCUCUCUCUUUCAAUUAAUAAAUUCCAAAUGGAUCGUUCAGUUCUAGUUGCUUUUCUUCUUUUAUCAUUUCUUCUAGCCACAGGUUUUCCUUUAACCUUUUUCAAGUUAUUGUCUUUUCAAUUAAUUUCUUGAUUUCUCAUGAUAUCAUAAAAUAUUUGUAUUUAACUCAUUCAACUAGGCAUCACAUAAUGGAAUAUUUAGAGAAAAGAUGUUAAAUGUACCAUGCUUUAUGUAUAUUUCUUUAAAGAAAAAAAAAUGUGUUUUCGUAUUUAACAUUGACUCUUUUGAAUAACAUGUUCUUUGAUUUUCUUGCAUUUAUUUGUUAUGAUGCAAUCGUGUGAAACGAAAUAGGGAUGGGGCCUAUGUCAGCGGAGGCUAAAACAUGCGAGGCUGAAAGCGGUAAAUUCAAGGGGAUGUGCAUGAGUUCUACCAACUGUGCUAGUGUUUGCAAAUCAGAGCCUGGUUUUGAUGGUGGACAUUGCCAAGGCUUUCGUCGCCGAUGCUUGUGCACUAAGCCUUGUUAGAUCAACAAUCUAUUAUAUUUCAUUGUCACGAAGAUUGCCUUUUUUUACUUAUCAUGCAUUAUAUGCUCCAACAUGUUUUGUAAACCAGUAAUUUUAUUAUUAGAAUUAAAUUAAUCUUUAUGAUGUUUAUAUUGCACAAAAAAUAUUAAUAUUGAUGGUCAAAAAAAAUUCUCAAGAUUAAUUUUAAAAUAUUUUAUUUUAGUAAAAAAUAAACAUAUUAUAUGGAUUGAAUUUUAAUUCGAUUGACAUAGUAAUCCCAUCACCAUUAGACAUUAGAUCUCCUUAUCAACCCAAAUUUCACUAUUUUCCUCACUACAAUAAGGGGCAUAAAUGGCUGCCACAACUGAUACAAAUUAACACCUCUGCCAUAUAAUAGUAAUAAUCCCAAUACAUUUAAUAUCCUAUCAUCAUCACCCUUCCCCUCAUUAGCCCCAACCGACAGUACUAAAUCCUUAAAUGCUUGGAGAAUUCUAUCCACCUCUUUGGUACCAUCUUCCUUAUCACCACUGAAUGUAUCCAUGGAAGAAUUCAUAUCUGUAUCACAGCCACAGUAUUGAUUAAUCACACUGGAUCGAAUUCAUUAACAUAGACACUGUACCGCUCAUUCCCAACUUGAAGUUGAAUAAUCUCAUCAAUACGAUAAGAACAAUUUGUUAUAAUUUGUAUAUUGGCUUUCAUAAAAGAACUAGGUCGCAAAGUCCCUUCAUCAACAGAGACGAAUUCAUCCCACCUUGCCUAACUAUUCUGGAAUGUAAAAACAUUCCAAGCAUGAAUAGGAACGCCCCUACAGGCAAGCUACACUCUUCGACUCUCUACCUUAAUUUUAUCCGACCACCACUGCUUAUGCAUGAAGCAACUAUCUAGGAUGGCCCACUGAUUUGCUUUGACAAACUCCAACAUCUCCACACUCUCGAACACCACCAGGAUCAUAGACCCAGAUAGUCUCAUAAUCGUUGCUCCCCUAAUACCCUUUUCAUAAAUAUCUUUCUCUAGCUCAUCAAUCCUAUAGAAACGUCUGCAACACCAAGUCAUACUUCUAUGCAAAACAUGAAGUUUCUCCACAUCUAUCACACCUGGAAUGAUCUUUUCAUCGUCCGCUAUAACCUUCUCCCUGGACUCUUCUUCCGUAUGGAUGGAGUUCUCUUGAGAGCUUAACUCCUUUAAGACCUGUUUCUUUCUCUAGAACGAUGAACAAGUUUUGAAUCUCACCAAGUUAACAAUGAGUCAAUGAUUAAACAUUCAAAACUCAUCCAUUCUAUCAAUGGUCCUUCUCGCAUCCUCCAUUGAAGCGUACCUGAUGAAACUAAAUCUUUUUCCUGAUCUACUCUUUUUGCGUGGCAUGAAAGCAUCCAACACCUUUCCAUGAUAUCCAAACAAUUGCUUCAGCCAACGCCAAUUCAUCUCAUCCGGGAGAUUACUAACAAAGACCGUAACACAGCCCAUCGUCUCUAAGAUCAUCCAUAUAGUUUUAUCUCACUUCCUUUACCGCCUCCUGUUCCUUUCCUAUUUAGUUCAUGCUUUUGGCUGAGUUUCAGUGACUCGUUCUUUAGCUUAGCUUUGUUGCAGGUAUUAGAGGUUGGCUUUCUUGACAGUCCUGUCAUUGUCCAUUAAUAUGCUACUAUUUUUCAUUGACCCAACGAGAUAACUCAGAGUCAACUCCAUCCUACCCAAAUAAUAUUUGAUACACAUUUUACUCUUCAAUUAAAUCUAAACAUAUAUCUUAUCACUAGUCUCACAUGUUCGCUCCAUUAAUUAGUACAAAAUGGACUCUCCGUUCAGUUUCAAUUGCUGUUCUACUCCUGUUGGUACUUCUAGUAACAGGUAAUUCGAAUAGAUGUAUAUUUAUAUUUAAUAUUCACUUAUUCGAAUAAUAUAUAUAUUGCGUGGUUUGAUGAUAAAAUUACGUGAAAUGAAAUAGAGAUGGUACCUAUUGCUGCAAGCACUAAAUUCAAAGGCAUGUGCCUUAGUUUUGCUAACUGUGCUAAUAUUUGCGAGGGGGUGCCAGGUUUCAUCGGUGGACAUUGCCAAAGCUUCCCUUGUCAAUGUUUUUGUACCAAGUCUUGUUAGAUGUGCAACCCAUUAUAUUCCAUUGUGCUGUGUGCUUGAGAGUUGGAGAGUAUUAAGAUGUCUUCAACAUAUUUUGUAUAUGAAUUUUUUAUAUUAAUAAUAAAUGAUCUUUUAUAAUGUUUUUGUUGCAAUUGUAUACACACACUUGUAUAUGAAUUUAUAUUUAAUAUUAAAUGAUCUUUUAUGUGUUUGUUUGUUUGAUCUUCGGUUUGUUGGAUUCCUUUACCGAUUUUAAAAUUGUAUGGAUCGGCCAUACGAGUAAUAGAGUUGCGGAUUGCAUUUGUAAACUUGCAUUAAAUAAAUGUUGUACCCUUUCUUUCAACAUGGAGCAUCUUUACGAUAUCCAUGACUUUGAAAUUGUUGAUUCUUGUUAAUAUGAGGUAGUGAUUUUCGUGCCCAUUUUAUAAAAAAAAAAAAAUUCAAACACAUACUCAUCUAAUAAAAUUUUCAUUUUUGUUUAAAAAUUAAAUUAUAUUUUUUUAUUUAAAUAUCAUAUUACUAGUUACAUAUUCAUCCUAAUCACCAAUUCUUAUUUAUAAGCUAAAAGUGUCCACGAUUAGGUUAAGGGCUUCUGUACAUUAAACAUAGUAACAUAUUAAAUUUUAUUGUAUAAAAAUGUAUUAAUUUUAAUCUAAUUUGACAUUUUAAUAAUAAAUAUAAAAUAAAUAAACUUAAAUAAUUAUAUAAAAUAUUCAACAAAAUUUAAAAAACCAAAAGAAAAAACCCGCAAUAUAUAGGCUAAGUUGUUGUGUUGUAAAUGAAAGUGAUUUAAGACCACUAGAAAAAUAACAAAUUGGGAUUCAUCCUUUUUUCUCGAUAACUACUACGAUCUCAAUGCUUAUAUAAAUGUAUCUUAAUGAUAUGCUUUCAUUGCAUCAAAAACUCUCAAUCUCUCUCUCUCACACAUAUUCACACUUUUUAUAAUAUUUAAAAUGGAGAAAUCUUCCCGUUCAGUGUCAUCUUUAGUCCUUCUUAUGUUGGUUCUCCUAGCAACAGGUUUUUUCUUUAAUUUUUUUAAAUUUUUGUCAUUUAAUUUAUUUUUAAUUCACUACAAAUUCAAAUUUUUCAUACAAAAUAUUUAUAUUUAACGUGUUCAAAUGAUCAUAAAUCUAAGCAUGUCAACUCUUAAAUUAUAUAUAUACAUACAAAUUUGAUAUUCACUCUUCGACAAAAUAGUAACCGGUGACAAUAAAUAUGAAGUUACCACAUUAGCUAUAUAAGGUGCCUAUGGCCCCAUUUUUCUUUGAGUAGUUUUAUUAUUAUUUAUUUACUUAAUAUAUGUGCAUAUAUUAAAGCUAACCAUCCCAUAUGUUUACAUAUAUAUUUUUAUUUAUUUGACAUUCACCCUCACAAUACGUAUACAUCAUUAUGAAAUGAAACAGAGAUGGGACCUAUGACAGUGGAAGGUAGAACAUGUGAGACCAAAAGUAGUGAAUACAAGGGGAUAUGCUUAUUUGAUGCUAAUUGUGAUAGUAUUUGCAAAGUAGAGCCAGGUUUCGAUGGUGGGCAUUGCCAUGGCUUCUUUCGCAGAUGCUAUUGCACUAAACCUUGUUAGAUGAGCAAUCUAUUAAGAUUUCAUUAUACUUAAAAGAUUGCCUCAUUUCCGCUUGUUAUGUGUGUGCUUGAGAGUUGAGAGAAUAAGAUCAACAACAUAUUGGUGUACAUUGAAUUAUAUUACUAUUAAAUAUAUCUAUAAUUUUUAUGGAUUUGUGCGACCUUGAUCGGUGCUGGCAUAAAAGUUGCUUCAGCGAAUCAUCAUUUAUUGUCAAUCAGUAUUCACAACAAAGGUUUCCAUAAAGGUUAAUGUUGGGCCAUCAAAGAGGUUGUCAAUCAAAUUUUGUCCAAACGGAUUCACAAAAUAGAAUCAUAAUUAUAAAGAGAUAAUAUAAUGGAGAAUAAGAUUAGAGUAGCUCCAUGUGUAAAUUAAUGACUUGGAUUAUGAAAGGGAGACGCGUGGAGAAGAAAUGAAGAAGAAGAAUAAGAGUGGAAAAUAAAGAAAUAAAAAAGGAAAAGAGAGUAGGGAAGUUAAAUUAAAUGAAAAUUAAAAAAAAAGACUGCUCAUGAAGAAAAAUGAUAGAGAUUACUGUAUAAUUUAAUCUAAAAUUUUCAUUUAAAAUAAUGAUUUAACGUGUCAUAUUCACUUGCUAUUACUUCGUUAACAACUCAUUAAAAAAAUACAAUAAAUUAAUACUAUUAAUGACUCUAUCGUAAUUUUUUAAUAUUUAAUGUUCAAAUUAUAAUUUGAACCAUACAUAAUUGAUUAAAUAUAUAGUCUACCCAAAGAUUUAUGGUAAGUAUAAUAAUAUUCUUAUUCAAUUUUUAUAAAAGUUUUAUUUUUUUGACAAUCUAAUUAGAGAUCUCAUUUUAAAUUGUGAUUUCUCAAAUUAAUAUUUUUUUUUGCUUAAUUUGCUACCUAUGUUUAUAAUGAUUAUUUUGAAAUUUGAAUUUGUCAAUUUUCUAAUUUAAUAUCUAAUCUUUUUUUUUAUCAAAUUUAGUUCUCAAAACUUGGCAUUUUUCUAAUUUGACUUUUAAUUGUUUUAUCUAAUUUAAUAUUUAAACUCAAAAUUUAUAUAAAUUACUCCAAUAAAAUUCUUAUCUUUAAAUGUUUCUGCAAAUAGUUGAUGUAUUUAAUGUUUAAAUGCAUCAAAUUUUUAAAAUCUUAGAUUUACUUAUUGAAUUUCAUGCAUGCUAAAUUGCUAUCAUUUAGAGUUUAAACUUGCAAAAUACUAUACGUGCAAGCUUUACACCUAGAACAUCUUUUUGGAGGAAAAUAGGUAGAAAAGUCAACAAUCUAUAGGAGGAUGGGAUCUUGAGGAAAAUGGAUGCAGGAAGAAGGAGCGGUGAUGAUAAACACAAGGAAAGUAAAAAAAAAAUGCUCAAUUGGUCGAAGGUGAUGUGCAGGACAAAGCAAGAGCGAGAGCAUUGGAACACAAUGAAUAUGUCUGUGCUGAGACGCGGAGGGGAAAACUUGAACUCAAACAUUCUUGAAGAUAUGGAAGUGAUCGACAGUAGAUUUGAGAAUGAAAAUAUCCAUUGGUUGGAACGCAGCUUGGUAGGGUGAACUGUGGAAUACAAAGCAUUGCAAGAAAUAGCUAGAAUUAUGACUGAGAUGAUUGACUUGCUUUGCAUGCUUGGAACCUUGGGACUUUUUAGAACAUAGCUCAUAAGUAUGGUGAGUGGUUAGGAGUUGACUUAAACACGAGAAGCUUUAACACUUUUGUGAGGGGUAAUAUCCAUGUUCUAAUAAAUCAGAUUUACAAGGUUAUAGUCAGGGAAGCAGAGCCAAUUGUUAUGGUUAACCAAUGUGAUUGUGUGAAGAAAAACAAGGAUUUGGCCGAAGGAGAAGAUGAAACAAGCUCAGAAGCAAACGCUCCAAGUGAGGAAACUUCUAGCGGUAACCACCUUUCUGUAACAGAUGAAUGUGAACAGUCAAUUAGAAGGAGAGUGAAUGUGGAAGAUGAUGAUGACGUGGAAAAAACCAAUCUCUCAUUCAAUUUAGAAACUUUAAACUAUAACUUCACAUAAUCUAACUAAGUUAAUCCCUCUUCCCCACUAACUAUAUAUUCCUAUGCUAGGCAAGUUGGGUGAAGUCACUAAGAACAAACUUAUUGGGUCGAUUAGGGCAUCAAGUAUAUUCUUAUUCUAGCUGCAAAUUAACUUGUUCGUUAGUGCUACUAAAGUUAAUUAUAAUCUAUUCAGUUUAGAUCUAAAUCAUAAUUUUCUUUUCUAAGACAAAUCAAGAUUAUCAAAUUAAUGCAACUUGGUGAUCAAGUAUGUAGAUUAAAUAAGCAUAUAAUUGAAUCAAUAAUUAGCAAAGAUCGAAAAACUCAAAGAGAAAAUAAUUUAAUUAACUAAAAAAUAGGAUCUAUUAUUGUUCCAAGAAAAUAGAGUUUAGUUCAUACUAAGUUGAAAAAACCACACAAAAAGAUAUUUAGAACAGACUUUCAUACAAAAAAAAAGUAAAAAAUAAUCUAGAGAUAAAAAUAGUAAUAGAAUUUAUGUCGAGCAUCCAUAUAUCUUUUUCUUCUUGUUUUUUUCAAGCUUAAAGUUCCCCUUAAUGUGAGAGAGUUGAUUUUUAGCCUCCAAGUGAUUUCUUCUUUUCCUCCUUCCUUUUCUCUUAAAUCUCAUCACCAUUAUUUUAGGGUUUUAAUUGAACCGCUUCACUGCACGCAAAAUUAUACUAAAAUAACUCUAAAUAUGAGGGUUAUUAUGGUGUCAACUACAACAACAUAAUGAACAUUUUCAGCUACGAAAAUCGUGAAGAUAAUGCUUUGAAAUAAAAUGAAAGAUGAUUUUCUUCCGAGUUACUUGAUGGCAUACAUCGAGAAGGACAUUGCUCGACAAUUUUCAAUCAAUUCUUUCAUUGAUGACUUCAAUUUAAUGAAAAAUCAAAGAAUUCAACUUAGGAUGUUCAACUUUAAGAAAUAGUGUUAUAUAUUAAGUUACUUUGAUUUAUGUUUUCUUUUAAGUAGACUAUAUUAACAUUUAAAAAGUAAUAAAUUAAGAUUAUACUUAUGUUUCGCCCCCUUGGAAUCAAAUCCUAAAUCCAUCCAUGGUGGGUUUUUUAUAUAUAAUAAAAAAGAAAGAAAAGAAAAGACACAAAGCAGUAAAAAAUAUAGUCAAAAUGUUAAGCUAAACUUAACGUCAAUGGGUGUCAAGAUUCGUUUAAAUAAAUAAAACAAAACCUGACACCCAUGAGUAUUGAGAUCCUAAUUAAAAUUUGUCUAUUAACAUUCUCUUUCCUCAUCUCUGGAUCUUGAGGAAAUUCAUUAAUAAAAAGCCUAUACUAAACUCGCACCUAUGGAUGUCGAGAUACUCCAAAAAGUAAAAUUUUGGAAAAUAAAUUUUAUAGAAGCUUAGUUUGGGAAACAAUAAAAAAAAUCCCUAUAUCCAAGUUUGAAAAAAAUUUGAAUAACUAUUAUCAGAAUAAAAGAAAUGGUAAACUACAAAAAUAGUCACUUUUGUUUACAUCAGGUUACAUUUUAGUCACUUAUGUUUAAAAUAUUACGUUUUAGUCACUUAUGUUAUUAUUUUGUUACGAAGUGAUCACUCUUCCAGUAAGUUCUGUUAUCUCACUAACGGUAAUCUUACGUGGCAGUCUAACUAGAUUUUAAGUGCCAACUUAAAUUUCCUAAUAGGAUGAGAAUAAAUUUUUAAUUAAAUAAAUUUAAUUAAUUAAAAAUUUUAAACCCUAAAUCUUAGUUAAAAAAAUUCAUCUCCCCUUUUUUUUUAGUUUUCUUUUUCAGGAUACCCUUCCUUGGAACUACUGUGACUGUGUUCCUCCUCAUGCCCGGUUGUUUCAGAUGUUAAAAAAAUCAGAACUUGAACUACUUUCCCUACCCUUGUCUUCAAGCAACUCGGCAAAUAUUCCCAUUUGAACCCCAUUCUCACUAAAGCUUUCAUUUUUCUCUUUAAUGAGUCCUCCUUUCUCAACCAAACCCUCCAUUUCAAUUUGCUGUUCUUCAAAAGGACCAGGUGAAGGACAAAACAGAGUGAUUUACUAUCAUACCACUAUACUCUAACCUCUGUGAGCAACACACAUUGGACUCCAUAGCUUUGUAACACAAGCUUCUAAAAGAUUUUGAAACCCAAAAGCUCUUAGCUUUUAGCUUUGGCGCAGGCAUUCAAAGCUUCAACUGGUGAUAUUGUUGUUGUUGCUGCUGUUUGGUAGAGCUAUUUACUCUUGGUUGGUGAAAGCUCCUCCAUCCAUAAGGUCGCCAACAUGUCUACUUCAAUGGGGUAAAGUGGAAGCAAAAAAAAAAAAAAAAUGCAGAGAAAUUUGGUGUGGGGUUUUCCUUCUUUUUCCUUUUAUCUUUUUUUAUGUUACAGAAAAAAGGCAGAAGCUUUAUGUUCUUAAAUAUAUGGAGUCAAGCUGAUGAUUACUGAGGCCUGCUCAAAGACAUGACUGCUUUCUUAGUCAACCGAAAAAUAAAACUAAAAAAAGGAAGAUAGAACGGUUUUUUAAUUAAGAUUUAAGGUUUAAAAUUUUUAAUUAAUUAAAUUUAUUUAAUUAAAAAUCUAUUCUUAUCUUAUUAGAAAAUUUAAGUUGACACUUAAAAUUUAGUUUGACUGUCAUAUAGGAUUACCGUUAAUGAGAUAACAGAACUUAACGGAAGAGUGAUCACUUCGUAACAAAAUAAUAACAUAAGUGACUAAAACGUAACAUUUCAAACAUAAGUGACUAAAAUGUAAUCUGAGGCAAAUAAAAGUGACUAUUUUUGUAGUUUACCCUAAAAGAAAAUACGAAGCAUAAUAAAUUAUUAAUUGAAAUAUCUUCGAUCCUAAAAUGAAAUAAAUUUAAACAGAAUUUACAUAUUUUUAGAUUUAAGCAAUCCCUUUUUCUCGAUAACUACCUCAACACUAACCCUUAUAUAAACCCAUCCCAUUGUUUUAUUUUCACUGCAUUAACAUCUCUCUCUCUUUCAAUUAAUAAAUUCCAAAUGGAUCGUUCAGUUCUAGUUGCUUUUCUUCUUUUAUCAUUUCUUCUAGCCACAGGUUUUCCUUUAACCUUUUUCAAGUUAUUGUCUUUUCAAUUAAUUUCUUGAUUUCUCAUGAUAUCAUAAAAUAUUUGUAUUUAACUCAUUCAACUAGGCAUCACAUAAUGGAAUAUUUAGAGAAAAGAUGUUAAAUGUACCAUGCUUUAUGUAUAUUUCUUUAAAGAAAAAAAAAUGUGUUUUCGUAUUUAACAUUGACUCUUUUGAAUAACAUGUUCUUUGAUUUUCUUGCAUUUAUUUGUUAUGAUGCAAUCGUGUGAAACGAAAUAGGGAUGGGGCCUAUGUCAGCGGAGGCUAAAACAUGCGAGGCUGAAAGCGGUAAAUUCAAGGGGAUGUGCAUGAGUUCUACCAACUGUGCUAGUGUUUGCAAAUCAGAGCCUGGUUUUGAUGGUGGACAUUGCCAAGGCUUUCGUCGCCGAUGCUUGUGCACUAAGCCUUGUUAAACCACUAAGCUUUGUUAGAUCAGUAAUCUAUUAUAUUUCAUUGUCACCAAGAUGGCCCUUUUUUUUGCUUAUCAUGCAUUAUAUGCUUGAGAGUUGAGAGAAAUAAGACAUCUCCAACUUGUUUUGUAAACCAGUAAAUUUUUUAUUAGAAUUAAAUUAAUCUUUUAUGAUGUUUAUAUUGCACAAAAAAGAUUAAUAUUGAUGGUUAAAAAAACCUCUCAAGAUUAGUUUCAAAAUAUUUCAUUUUGGUCAAAAAUAAACAUAUGAUGUCUGUCGAAACCAUCUUUUUGAAAAAUAAAAGUUUUAAGGUUGUUGACUUUUUAAAAAAAAUUAAAAUUGUGAGUCGCCACCAAUUUUCAUUAGGGUGUGAUUGGAUCACCUAAAAAAAUGGCAUUGGUCUACGAGUUUUAGAAAAACGGAUCUGGGAGUCAGUUACGUAUGAGGAAGGAUUAGCACCCUCGUAACGCCCAAAAUUGGUACCUAGUUAAUUAAUUAGUGUCUUAAGGUCGAGAAUUUGGAAAAAAAACGUAAUUCAUAGCAAAACUUAAAAGGCUACGUAUUAAGACCCUUAUUAUUUCAGAGAAAGAAGAUACCACACCCAAUGCGUUAGGGCACAACAUUCUAAUUUUCCCCCAAAAAUGAAUUGGGCCAAAAUACUUGUACAAUAAAACUUUAAAGGAACACUCACUUAUCCAAGAUUUAAGAAAUCACACCCAAUACGUUAGGGCACGAUUCCUUUAGAAUCUCAAACUCGGAAUAUUUCCUUUACUUUAAAAGAACAUCCACUUAUCCAAGAUUUAAGAAAUCACACCCAAUACGUUAGGGCACAAUUCCUUUAAAAUCCCAAACUCGAAAUAUUUCCUUUAUUGUUUUUAGAAAAAAAUUUCAUUUCGAGAAAUCAAUGCGUCACAUCCAAUACGUUAGGACACAACGUGUUGAAUUCCCAAUAAUGAAUUCUUAUUUUUUGAUUAAAGAGAAACGCUCGAUUGUUAGACUUAACGAAGAAAAUCGGAACCCAAUACGUUAGGGCUCAAUUUCCUUGAAAAUCCUAAAUUCAAGCAUUCUCUCAAUUUUGAAAAGUUUGAAAUCGAGUAAAGAAUGAUGUGAUGCUAUAUUAAAUAUACAAUGCAAUAAUAAAUAUUACAAAGGCCUAGAAAUAAUAUAAAUAAAUGAAUAAAUAAAAUCAAUAUACAUAAUAAAAAUAAUCACAUACAAAAUAUCAAAUAAAUCAUUAAAAACAAUUCUUUUUAACAUAUAAACGAAAACAUGAACUAAUAAUAGAAUGAAGAAAAUAAACAAAAUAUAAAGAAUAAAAGGCACAUAAUAUAUACAUUGAAAUUAAAAGCCAUACACAUAAUUUACAUAUGUAACUUUGGAUUAAAAUUUAUAAAAGCAGAAUAUAUAAUGCAUUUGUGAAAAUAAAAUAUAAAUUAUAAAGUAAGUGUUAAAAAAUACAUAUAUUUGAGCAUUUAAAAAAUAUAUAUAUUCAUAUAUAUAUACAAGUAUAUAAAAAACUGGUUGAAAAUAUUAAUAUGUAUACAUACAUAUAUAUACAAAGAUAAAUAUAACAUAUAUAGAUUAUAAAAAAAAAUAAUUAUAUAUAAAUAAAAUAAAAUAAAAAUAAUUACCUCAUAUUAAAAAAAUAAAUAUGCGAAAAAUAUUAGUUUUUUAAAAAAAUAUAAAUACGCACAUAGAAACAAGUAUACAUAUAUAUAGCUAAAAUAAUAAUAAUAAUUACAUAUGAAAAUAAUAAUAAUAAUUACAUUAAAAAAAUUAACUCAUUUUAAAAAAAUAUAAAAAGGAUUAUAUUGAACUACAAGUAAACAAAUUUGGGGUCAAUCUGCAAAUAAAUAAAAUUUGGAGGACUAAAUUGAACGAGCGAAUUACAUAGAGGGGCUGGAAGGGAAAUUUUCCCUUCUCCUCUAAAACGGUGUCGUUCAAAAGGAUUAAAUUGGAAUUUAAAAUAAACAAAAGGGUAAAUUAAAAAAUAAAGAAAACUUAAUUACAAAAACAUUAAAAGGCGGAGGGGCUAAAUAAAAAAUAAAUAAAAUUCGCAGUGGUAUCACCUUCUCUUUUUUUUUUAAAUCGUGAAUAAGUAAAAAAAAUAAUCGAAAGAAAAAAAUAGUAAGCCACCUUUAAAAAACUGCCAAUCGUUCUUUUUUAUUCCUCCUCAUCUUUCCUCUUUUUCUUUUUUCUACAAUGAAGGGAGAAGCCUCUAUUUAUAGUUGAGUCUCCCCAAAUCAAACGGUACAGAUCAAUUACAUCAACGGCUGAGAUUAAAGGGUAUCUACAAAUUAAAUCUUUAAGAUUACAAAAUCAUAUAUUCUAAGAUUGCAUAUUAUAUCUAAGAUUGCAUAUAUCAUAUUUAAGAUUGCAUAUCAUAUCUAAUAUUGCAUAUCCUCAAAAAUUAUGUUUUCAUAUGUGAACUCAGGCUAAAAUUGAGUAUUACAAUGUUAAUUGAAUCUUAAUUCGAUCGACAUAGUAAGAACUCUCCUUAUUUGCGAACCCCAUCACCAUUAGACAUUAGAUCUCCCGUAUCAACCCAAAUUCCACUAUUUUCCUAACUACAAUAAGGGGCAUAAAUGACUGCCACAACUGAUACAAAUUAACACCUCUGCCAUAUAAUAGUAAUAAUCCCAAUACAUUUAAUAUCCUAUCAUCAUCACCCUUCCCCUCAUUAGCUCCAACCGACAGUACUAAAUCCUUAACUGCUUGGAGAAUUCUAUCCACCUCUUUGGUAACAUCUUCCUUAUCACCACUGAAUGUAUCCAUGGAAGAAUUCAUAUCUGUCUGUAUCACAGCCACAGUAUUGAUUAAUCACACUAGAUCGAAUUCAUUAACAUAGACACUGUACCGCUCAUUCCCAACUUGAAGUUGAAUAAUCUCAUCAAUACGAUAAGAACAAUUUGUUAAUUUUAACUUGUAUAUUGGCUUUCAUAAAAGAACUAGGUUGCACAGUCCCUUAAUCAACAGAGACGAAUUCAUCCCACCUUGCCUAAAUAUUCUGGAAUGUAAAAACAUUCCAAGCAUGAAUAGGAACGCCCCUACAGGCAAGCUACACUCUUCGACUCUCUACCUUAAUUUUAUCCGACCACCACUGCUUAUGCAUGAAGCAACUAUCUAGGAUGUCCCACUGAUUUGCUUUGUCAAACUCCAACAUCUCCACACUCUCGAACACCAUCAGGAUCAUAGACCCAGAUAGUCUCAUAAUCGUUGCUCCCAUAAUAUCCUUUUCAUAAAUAUCUUUCUCUAGCUCAUCAAUCCUAUAGAAACGUCUGCAACACCCAGUCAUACUUCUAUGCAAAACAUGCAGUUUCUCCACAUCUAUCACACCUGGAAUGAUCUUUUCAUCGUACGCUAUAACCUUCUCCCUGGACUCUUCUUCCGUAUGGAUGGAGUUCUCUUGAGAGCUUAACUCUUUAAGACCUGUUUCUUUCUCUAGAACGAUGAACGACUUUUGAAUCUCACCAAGUUAACAAUGAGUCAAUGAUUAAACAUUCAAAACUCGUCCAUUCUAUCAAUGGCCCUUUUCGCAUCCUCCAUACAAGCGUACCUGAUGAAACUAAAUCUUUUUCCUGAUCUACUCUUUUUGCGUGGCAUGAAAGCAUCCAACACUUUCCAUGAUAUCCAAACAAUUGCUUCAGCCAACGCCAAUUUAUCCCAUCCGGGUUAUUACUAACAAAGACCGUAACACAGCCCAUCGUCUCUAAGAUCAUCCAUAUAGUUUUAUCUCACUUCCUUUACCGCCUCCUGUUCUUUUCCUCUUUAGUUCAUGCUUUUGGCUGAGUUUCAGUGACUCGUUCUUUAGCUUAGCUUUGUUGCAGGUAUUAGAGGUUGGCUUUCUUGACAGUCCUGUCAUUGUCCAUUGAUAUGCUACUAUUUUUCAUUGACCCAACGAGUAACCCAGAGUCAGCUCCAUCCUACCCAAAUAAUAUUUGAUACACAUUUUACUCUUCAGUUAAAUCUAAACAUAUAUCUUAUCACUAGACUCACUUGUUCGCUCUAUUAAUUAGUACAAAAUGGACUCUCGUUCAGUUUCAACUGCUGUUCUAUUCCUGUUGGUACUUCAGUAACAGGUAAUUCGAACAGAAUGUAUAUUUAUAUUUAAUAUUCACUUAUUCGAAUAAUAUAUAUAUUGCGUGGUUUGAUGAUAAAAUUACGUGAAAUGAAAUAGAGAUGGUACCUAUUGCUGCAAGCACUAAAUUCAAAGGCAUGUGCCUAAGUUUUGCUAACUGUGCUAAUAUUUGCGAGGGGGUGCCAGGUUUCAUCGGUGGACAUUGCCAAAGCUUCCCUUGUCAAUGUUUUUGUACCAAGUCUUGUUAGAUGUGCAACCUAUUAUAUUCCAUUGUGCUGUGUGCUUGAGAGUUGGAGAGUAUUAAGAUGUCUUCAACAUAUUUUGUAUAUGAAUUUUUUAUAUUAAUAAUUGAUUUUUUAUAAUGUUUUUGUUGCAAUUGUAUACACACAAUUGUAUAUGAAUUUAUAUUUAAUAUUAAAUGAUCUUUUAUGUGUUUGUUUGUCCAUAUAUUGAGAUUUUCGGUUUGUUGGAUUCUUUCACCGAUUUUAAAAUUGUAAGGAUUGGCCAUACGAGUAAUAGAGUUGCAGAUUGCAUUUGUAAACUUGUGUUGAAUAAAUGUUGUACCCUUUCUUUCAACAUGGAGCAUCUUUAAGAUAUCCAUGACUUUGAAAUUGUUGAUUCUUAUUAAUAUGAGGUAGCGACUUUUAUGCCCAUUUUAUAAAAAAAAAAAAGUUUUCAAACACAUACUCAUCUAAUAAAAUUUUUAAUUUUGUUUAAAAAUUAAAUUUAUAUUUUUUUAUUUAAAUAUCAUAUUACUAGUUACAUAUUCAUCCUAAUCACCUAUUCUUAUUUAUAAGCUAAAAGUGUCCACGAUUAGGUUAAGGGUUUCUAUACAUUAAACAUAGUAACAUAUUAAAUUUUAUUGUUUAAAACGUAUUAUAUUGUAAUCUAAUUUGAUUUAUACCAAAUAUCAAAUUAUUAAUUUGAUAUUUUAAUAAUAAAUAUAAAAAAAUAAACUUGAAUAAUUAUAUAAAAUAUUUAACAAAAUUUUAAAAACCAAAAGAAAAAACCCGAAUACAUAGGCUAAGUUGUUGUGGUGUAAAUGAAUGUGAUUUAAGACCACUAGAAAAAUAACAAAUGUGGGAUUCAUCCUUUUUUCUCGAUAACUACUACGAUUUCAAUGCUUAUAUAAAUGUAUCUUAAUGAUAUGCUUUCAUUGCAUCAAAAACUCUCAAUCUCUCUCUCUCUCACACAUAUUCACACUUUUAAUAAUAUUUAAAAUGGAGAAAUCUUCCCGUUCAAUGUCAUCUUUAGUCCUUCUUAUGUUGGUUCUUCUAGCAACAGGUUUUCUCUUAAUUGCUUUUUUAAAUUCUUGUCAUUUAAUUUAUUAUUUAAUUCACUACAAAUUCAAAAUUUUUCAUACAAAAUAUUUGUAUUUAACAUGCUCAAAUGACCAUAAAUCUAAGCAUGUCAACUCUUAAAUUAUAUAUAUACAUACAAAUUUGAUAUUCACUCUUUGACAAAAUAGUAACCAGUAACGAUUAAUAUGAAGUUACCACACUAAGUAUAUAAGGUGCCUAUGGCCCCAUUUUUCUUUAAGUAGUUUUAUUAUUAUUUCUUUAUUUAAUAUAUGUGCAUAUAUUAAAGUUAACUAUCCCAUAUGUUUAAAUAUAUUUUUUAUUUAUUUGACAUUCAUCCUCACAAUACGUAUACAUCAUUAUGAAAUGAAACAGAGAUGGGACCUAUGACAGUGGAAGGUAGAACAUGUGAGACCAAAAGUAGUGAAUACAAGGGGAUAUGCUUAUUUGAUGCUAAUUGUGAUAGUAUCUGCAAAAUAGAGCCAGGUUUCGAUGGUGGGCAUUGCCAUGGCUUCUUUCGCAGAUGCUAUUGCACUAAACCUUGUUAAAUGAACAAUCUAUUAGGAUUUUAUUAUACUUAAAAGAUUGCCUCAUUUCCGCUUGUUAUGUGUGUGCUUGAGAGUUGAGAGAAUAAUACAUAUUGGUGUACAUUGAAUUAUAUUACUAUUAAAUAUAUCUAUAAUUUUU
rnacentral:lncRNA from 1 species